rnacentral:rRNA from 1 species
UAGGGAAUAUUGCGCAAUGGGGGAAACCCUGACGCAGCAACGCCGCGUGAGUGAGGAAGGCCUUCGGGUUGUAAAACUCUGUUAAGGGGGAAGAAAGGCACAGUGGUUAAUACCCACCGUGUUUGACGGUACCUCUAGAGGAAGCACCGGCUAACUUCGUGCCAGCAGCCGCGGUAAUACGAAGGGUGCAAGCGUUGUUCGGAUUUAUUGGGCGUAAAGCGCGCGCAGGCGGGCGGCCAAGUCAGAUGUGAAAUCUCGGGGCUCAACCCCGAAACUGCGUCUGAAACUGGCCACCUAGAGUCUCGGGGGGGGAUGGGGAAUUUCGCAUGUAGGGGUAAAAUCCGUAGAGAUGCGAAGGAACACCUGUGGGGAAGCCGCCAUCCUAGACGAGUACUGACGCUGAGGCGCGAAAGCGUGGGGAGCAAACAGG